GGGGCUAUAGCUCAGCUGGGAGAGCGCCUGCAUGGCAUGCAGGAGGUCAGCGGUUCGAUCCC
rnacentral:tRNA from 1 species